CGAACUCUGGUAUUGAUUGGUGCUUGCAUCAUGAUUUACAUUUGAGUGAGUGGCGAACUGGUGAGUAACACGUGGGAAACCUGCCCAGAAGCGGGGGAUAACACCUGGAAACAGAUGCUAAUACCGCAUAACAACUUGGACCGCAUGGUCCGAGUUUGAAAGAUGGCUUCGGCUAUCACUUUUGGAUGGUCCCGCGGCGUAUUAGCUAGAUGGUGGGGUAACGGCUCACCAUGGCAAUGAUACGUAGCCGACCUGAGAGGGUAAUCGGCCACAUUGGGACUGAGACACGGCCCAAACUCCUACGGGAGGCAGCAGUAGGGAAUCUUCCACAAUGGACGAAAGUCUGAUGGAGCAACGCCGCGUGAGUGAAGAAGGGUUUCGGCUCGUAAAACUCUGUUGUUAAAGAAGAACAUAUCUGAGAGUAACUGUUCAGGUAUUGACGGUAUUUAACCAGAAAGCCACGGCUAACUACGUGCCAGCAGCCGCGGUAAUACGUAGGUGGCAAGCGUUGUCCGGAUUUAUUGGGCGUAAAGCGAGCGCAGGCGGUUUUUUAAGUCUGAUGUGAAAGCCUUCGGCUCAACCGAAGAAGUGCAUCGGAAACUGGGAAACUUGAGUGCAGAAGAGGACAGUGGAACUCCAUGUGUAGCGGUGAAAUGCGUAGAUAUAUGGAAGAACACCAGUGGCGAAGCGGCUGUCUGGUCUGUAACUGACGCUGAGGCUCGAAAGUAUGGGUAGCAAACAGGAUUAGAUACCCUGGUAGUCCAUACCGUAAACGAUGAAUGCUAAGUGUU
rnacentral:rRNA from 2 species